rnacentral:rRNA from 1 species
AUUGAACGCUGGCGGCAGGCCUAACACAUGCAAGUCGAACGGUAACAGGAAGAAGCUUGCUUCUUUGCUGACGAGUGGCGGACGGGUGAGUAAUGUCUGGGAAACUGCCUGAUGGAGGGGGCUCACUACUGGAAACGGUCGCUAAUACCGCAUAACGUCGCAAGACUAAAGAGGGGGACCUUCGGGCCUCUUGCCAUCGGAUGUGCCCAGAUGGGAUUAGCUAGUAGGUGGGGUAACGGCUCACCUAGGCUACGAUCCCUAGCUGGUCUGAGAGGAUGACCAGCCACACUGGAACUGAGACACGGUCCAGACUCCUACGGGAGGCAGCAGUGGGGAAUAUUGCACAAUGGGCGCAAGCCUGAUGCAGCAACGCCGCGUGUAUGAAGAAGGCCUUCGGAUCGUAAAGUACUUUCAGCGGGGAGGAAGGGAGUAAAGUUAAUACCUUUACUCAUUGACGUUACCCGCAGAAGAAGCACCGGCUAACUACGUG